rnacentral:rRNA from 1 species
UAGGGAAUCUUCCGCAAUGGACGAAAGUCUGACGGAGCAACGCCGCGUGAGUGAAGAAGGAUUUCGGUUCGUCAAACUCUGUUGUUAGGGAAGAAAAAAUGUAUAGUAACUAUAUACAAAAGAGACGGUACCUAACCAGAAAGCCACGGCUAACUACGUGCCAGCAGCCGCGGUAAUACGUAGGUGGCAAGCGUUGUCCGGAAUUAUUGGGCGUAAAUAGCCCGCAGGUGGUUUAGAAAGUCUGAUGUGAAAGCCCACGGCUCAACCGUGGAGGGUCAUUGGAAACUAAUAAACGGGGGUGUAGGAGAGAAAAGUGGAAUUCCUGGAGUAGCGGUAAUAUGAGUAGUGAUGAGGAGGAACACCGGUGGCGAAAGCGGCUUUUUGGCCUGCAACUGACACUGAGGCGCGAAAGAGUGGGGAGCAAACAGG